rnacentral:ncRNA from 1 species
AUAGAAUCGAUGAAGCAAAGAGUACCGCUAGAGGAUUUGUAAAGUGAGGAACGUUAGUGGAAAGUUCCCAAAGACCUAGUGGGAAACGCAUUGCUGAGAUGACUUAGUGAAUCCUUAGCUAAGUCCGCCACCCAGGCGUUACCAUGUCAAGCAUUGCAAGUAUUUUGCGAUAUUAGAGUGGUACCGUGGAUAAGUCCGCCUCUUAU